CAGUCGCCACGGUAAUACGAAGGGUGCAAGCGUUACUCGGAAUUACUGGGCGUAAAGCGUGCGCAGGCGGUUUGUUAAGACAGAUGUGAAAUCCCCGGGCUCAACCUGGGAACUGCAUUUGUGACUGGCAAGCUAGAGUGUGUCAGAGGAUGGUGGAGUUCCCGGUGUAGCGGUGAAAUGCGUAGAGAUCGGGAGGAAUAUCAGUGGCGAAGGCGGCCAUCUGGGACAACACUGACGCUGAGACACGAAAGCGUGGGGAGCAAACAGGAUUAGAUACCCGAGUAGUCCCUGUCUCUUAUAC
rnacentral:rRNA from 1 species